rfam:Oryza glaberrima chromosome 6 Oglab06_0215_8, whole genome shotgun sequence.
UUUAAGUGCAAUCAUGAGUUUCCGCGUCCAACUUUGAUCGUCCGCCUUAUUUGAAAUUUUUUUAUAAUUAGUAUUUUUGUUGUUAUGAGAUGAUAAAACAUGAAUAAUAUUUUACUUGUGACUUAUGGUUUUUAAUUUUUUCAAAAAAAUUUCAAAUAAGACGGACGAUCAAAGUUGGCGCGGAAAACCAUGGCUGCACUUAAA